rnacentral:rRNA from 1 species
UGGUUGAUCCUGCCAGUAGUCAUAUGCUUGUCUUAAAGAUUAAGCCAUGCAUGUCUAAGUAUAAACUGUAAUACAGUAAAACUGCAAAUGGCUCAUUAAAACAGUUAUAAUUUACUUGAUAAUAAAAUAUUACAUGGAUAACCGUGGUAAUUCUAGAGCUAAUACAUGAGCAAUGUCUCAACUAUUUUGGAAGAGAUGCAUUUAUUAGAUAAAAAGCCAAUACAUGCUUUUAAAGUAUGAAAGUUGGUGAUUUACAAUAACUUAGCAAAUCGCAUAGUGUCAACAGGCGAUAAAUCAUUCAAGUUUCUGACCUAUCAGCUUUCGACGGUAUGGUAUUGGCUUACCGUGGCAGUGACGGUUAACGGGGGAUUAGGGUUCGAUUCCGGAGAGGGAGCCUGAGAAACGGCUACCACAUCUAAGGAAGGCAGCAGGCGCGCAAAUUACCCAAUUCUAACAGCAUAAGAGAGGUAGUGACAAGAAAUAACAAUACAAGGCAGUUAAAAUGGUUUGUAAUUGGAAUGAUAGAAAUUUAAACACUUUUUAGAGUAUCAAUUGGAGGGCAAGUCUGGUGCCAGCAGCCGCGGUAAUUCCAGCUCCAAUAGCGUAUAUUAAAAUUGUUGCAGUUAAAAAGCUCGUAGUUGAAUUUCUGCUAAAAAUAACCGGUCUCCUUUUUAAUAAAAUUGCUUAUCUUGGUGUGCUUUUARCAAUAAUGUCCUUUGAAAUGUUUUUUACUUUAUUGUAAUAAACCAUAUUCAGGAUUUUUACUUUGAGAAAAUUAGAGUGUUUGUAGCAGGCUAACGCUUUGAAUACUGCAGCAUGGAAUAAUAGAAUAGGAUUUUGGUUCUACAUUAUUGGUUUUAAGAACUAAAUUAAUGAUUGAUAGGGACAGUUGGGGGCAUUUGUAUUUAACUGUCAGAGGUGAAAUUCUUAGAUUUGUUAAAGACAAACUACUGCGAAAGCAUUUGCCAAAGAUGUUUUCAUUAAUCAAGAACGAAAGUUAGGGGAUCGAAGACGAUCAGAUACCGUCGUAGUCUUAACUAUAAACUAUGCCGACUAGAGAUUGGAGGUCGUCUUUAUAAACGACUCCUGCAGCACCUUACGAGAAAUCAAA